rnacentral:tRNA from 1 species
AAGAAAUUAACUCAAUUGGUAGAGUGGCCAUUUUACACGUGGUUUGUUAGGUGUUCGAGUCACCUAUUUCUUA